ACUGUGACUGCGGAUUUGGAAGGCUGAGAGUCCUGGGGAGACAUGCUCCGUGGAGACGAAUUUGUUUCUUCCUUUGCAAGAUUCAGAUUCUGCACUUGGGGGCCCAUACAACACACUUCCCUGGGUGCAUGCCACUGCACCACCCCUGCUCCUCAAGGCAGGUAAUGGGGGAACUAAUUGGUUUUGUUUCCCAUGAGCUAAGGCAAGGCUGGUGUGGAGAUAGCAGUUAUAGGGAAGCAUAUUAAAGAAUAGCCAAAACGGGACCAGGCGCGGUGGCUCACGCCUGUAAUCCCAGCAAUAUGGGAGGCCGAGGUGGGUGGAUCACCUGAGGUCAGGAGUUCGAGACCAGCCUGGCCAACCUGGUGAAGCCCCGUCUGUACUGAAAAAUUAGCUGGGCGUGAUGGCGGGCGCCUGUAAGUCCCAGCUACUCGGGAGGCUGAGGCAGGAGAAUCGCUUGAACCCGGAAGGCGGAGGUUGCAGUGGGUCGAGAUCGUGCCACUGCACUCCCGCCUGGGUGACGAAGUGAGACUCCGUCUCAAAAAAAACUCUAUAAAGUAAAAGUUACUGUAAAGAAGGAGAUAUACUCUCAGUAGGUGAAGGAAAAAGAACUAGAGCUUUAAAGUGGUAAUUAACCAUCAGAAGAAUCACAGAUGGGGGAGGUGAGGAUGACACAGGGCCCUUCCGUUGUCCCUCCAGUGCAAAAGUUAAGGAGGCACCAGAAAACUGGUUUCCAACUCCCGACCUCAGGUGAUCCUACCGCCUCGGCCUCCCGAAGUGCUGGGAUUACAGGCAUGAGCCACCGCGCCCGGCCCCAUCGUGACAUUUUUGCAUUCAUUUUGAUGCAACAAGAGUUUGAGAAAAGCCUGAGCAACAAAGUGAGACCCCAUCUGACAAAAUAGUAUAAAAGGACGUUUUAAAAAAGGGCUAGGUAGGCAGCCCUGUCCAAUAGAACUUUCCCUAUCUGUGCUGCCCAAGUAAGGUAGCCACAAGCUUCAAGUAGCUAUUGAGCACUGGAAAUGUGGCCAGCAGCCAGGCGUGGUGGCAGGCGCCUGUGUCCCAGCUACUCAGGAUCUGAGGCAAAAAGAUCGCUUGAGCCCAGGAAUUCAAGGCCGCAGUGGUGGACUCAAUAAAAGAAAAAAAAUGGAAAUUAAAAAAAAAAAAGUGGCCAGUGGACUGAGGAAGUGAAGUUUUAAUUGUAAUUAAAUUAAUUUUUUAAAAAUUUAUUUUUUGAGGCGGGGUUUCACUGUGUCGCCCAGGCUGGAGUGCAGUGGCAGGAUCUUGGCUCACUGCAAUCUCCAUCUCCUGGGUUUAAGCAAUUCUUGUGCCUCAGCUUCCUGAGUAGCUAGGACUACGGGCAUGCACCACCACAGUCAGCCACUUUUUGUAUUAUUCGUAGAGAUGAGUUUCACCAUGUUAGCCAGGCUGGUCUCAAACUCCUGACCUCAGGUGAUCUGCCCACCUCGGCCUCCCAAAGUGCUAGGAUUACAGGCAUGUGCCACUGCGCCUGGCUUUAAUUAAAUUUAGAUAGCCACAUGUCACUAGUGUUUGGAAAGACCUGAGCUGGUUCAGAUCGAGGCCGCAGUGUGCUGGCUAUUCUAUCUCUCACUCUUCUAGUGAGAUUGUUUUCUCAAUCACCAGUCUCCCUGACCCAUCCAGAGGUGGGGCUCAAAGCCACAAAGCUCAAGUGUCGUGUUCGGUCGUUGGUUUCCAGCAUGGCCAGUUCCCAUCCUCAGUCAUCUUGUUAACAUGAACUAUAUAGGGGCCCAUCCCAAGUCAUCUCAUUAGCAUAAACCAUCAGGAGUGGUCUGAGAAGCCCACAAUGAAUAAGAUGGACACUCCUAUCAUUUGGGAUUUAGGGGCUCAGGGGCAUGAUGAUAGUUCACUGCAGCCUCGACCUUCUGGAGUCAAGCAAUCCUCCUGCCCCAGCCUCCUGAGUAGCUGAGAUGACAGGUGCAUGCCACCGUGCCUGGCUAAUUUUUUUUUAUUUUUUUGGUAGAGAUAGGGUCUCACUAUGUUGCCCAAGCUGGUCUCAAACUCCUGGGCUCAUGUGAUCCUCCCGCUUUGAUCUCCCAAAGUGCUGGAGUUACAGGUAUGUGCCACCACUCCUGGCCAAAUUUGUUACUACACAGUGGUAAAGACAGACAUUUGAGGUGGCAGUGAACCAAGAUCAUGCCACUGCACUCCAGCCUGGGCAACAGAGGGAGAUCCUGUCUCAAAAGAAAAAAAGAAACUUACUGGCCGGGCACAGUGGCUCAGGCCUGUAAUCCCAGCACUUUGGGAGACUGAAGCGGGUGGAUCACUUGAGCUCAGGAAUUGGAGACCAGCCUGGCCAAUGUGGUGAAACCCCGUCUCCACUAAAAAUACAAAAACAUGAGCUGGGUGUGGUGGUGGGCGCCUCCAGUCCCAGCUACUCGGGAGGCUGAGGCACGAGAAUCGCUUGAAUUCAGGAGGCAGAGGUUGCAGUGAGCUGAGAUUGUGCCACUGCACUCCAGCCUGGGCAACAAGAGCGAGACUCCAUCUCAAGAAAAAAAGAAAAAGAAAAAGCUGCUGUGGAGCAUGGGCGAGCACUGCUGCCUGGACAAAGACCGAGGGUCCUCGGGAGGGCAGUACUGAUGUACAGGUUUCCAGCAGGUCGGCGUGUGUGUUCUCUCCUGCAGGUCUGCAGCCAGGCGUGCCAGGAGAGGGGGAGUCUGAGGGAUUGAUGUAGGUUGGGAAAGCAUGAUGAGAGGAGACAGAGUGGGGGCUGUGAAGAAGAGAGCGACUUGAUGGUGGCGGUAGUUACACAGAUGUAUGUAUUUAUUAAAAUCCGCUGAAAAGUACAUUUUAAAUACAAGCAUUUUAUUGUAUGCAUGUUAUUCCUCAACAAAGUCCAUUUUUAAAAAGUAGAGUGGUUGGAGUGAUGACGAACAUUAUGAAAGGGCUUAUUGGCAGAGAAAAAGUAGAGGGGUCCAGAGACUCAAGUUCCUAACGAGGCUGAAGUAAGAGUGGGGGAUUAAAUAAGGGCAAAAACUGAGAGAAUAAAAAAAGUGGGUUGUUUGGGGCCAGGUGCGGUGGCUUAUACCUGUAAUCCCAGCACUUUGGGAGGCCAAGGCAGGGGGAUCGCUUGAGCCCAGGAGUUCAAGACCAGCCUGGGCAACAUAGUGAGACCCCCCCGCAACCCCCCCCACCUCUGCCAUCUCUAAAAAAAUUAAAAAUUAGCUAGGUGUGGUGGUGUGCACCUGUGGAUCCAGCUACUAAGGAGGCUGAGAUGGGUGGAUCAUCUGAGCCUGGGAAGUCGACGCUAUAGUGAGCUGUGACUGUACCACUGCACUCCAACCUAGGCAGCACAGUGACACCCUAUCUAAAAACAAAAAGAAAAAACAAAAACCCAAGUGGGUUGAUUGGGAAACACAGGAGAUAGAAGUUAAAAUCAUGGGGAAACAUCAGUCAAAUCACAGUGUGGGACAUUCUACAGGACAACCAACCUGGUUUAUCCCAUAAUUCAGUGCUAUAAGAAAAAUGAAGGAGUGUAUAUUGAUCAGGAUUUUCCAGAGAAACAGAACCAAUUGAAUUUCUAUAAAUAUAUAAAAAGCAAUAUAUUGCUGGGUGCAGGGCUCACACCUUGUGAUGGUUAAUAAUGAGUGUCAACUUGAUUGGAUUGAAGGAUGCAAAGUAUUGAUCCUGGGUGUGUCUGUGAGGGCGUUACCAAAGGAGGUGAACAUUUGAGUCAGUGGGACUGGGAAGGGCGGACCCAUCCUCAAUCUGGGUGGGCACCAACUAAUCAGCUGCCAGUGCGGCCAGAAUAUAAAGCAGGCAGAAAAACGUGAAAAGACUAGACUAGGCCUGGUGCCGUGGCUCACGCCUGUAAUCCCAGCACUUUGGGAGGCCGAGACGGGUGGAUCACUUGAAGUCAGGAGUUCAAGACCAGCCUGGCCAAUAUGGCAAAACUCAUCUCUGCUAAAAAUACAAAAAAAUUUAGCUGGGUGUUGUGGUGCAUGCCUAUAAUGCCAGCUACUCAGGAGGCUGAGGCAGGAGAAUAGCUUGAACCCAGGAAGCAGAGGUUGCGGUGAGCCGAGAUCACACCGCUGUACUCCAACCUGGGUGACAGAGACUCACCUCACCAAAAAAAAAAAAAAAAAUAAGUGGGGCUAGACUGGCCUAGCCUCCCAGUCUACAUCUUUCUUCUGUGCUGGAUGUUUCCUGCCCUCCAACAUCAGACUCCAAGUUCUUCAGCUUUGGGACUCGGACUGGCUUCCUUGCUCCUCAGCUUACAGAUGGCCUAUUGUGGGGCCUUGUGAUUGUGUGAGUUAAUACUACAUAUGUCUAUCUUAUUACUUCUGUCCCUCUACAGAAACCUGACUAAUACACACCUGUAAUCCCAGCACUUUGGGAGGGCAAGGCAGGCGGAUCCCUUGAGGCCAGAAAUUUGAGACCAGCCUGGGCAACACAGCAAGACCCCAUCUCUACAAAACAUAAUUUUAAAUAAAAUUAGGCCCGUGUGG
rnacentral:lncRNA from 1 species